CCGCGCUGGGCCCGGCCGCUGCGGCCGCACCCGGAGCCUGAGGGGAUGGCGGGGCCUGAGGGGACGGCGGGGCCCGAGGCGAUGGCGGGGCCUGAGGGAGCCGCACCUGCCCUGCCGAGGAGCACCUUGCACUGAGACCAGAGGACGAGAGUUCCCACAUGGCCCCUUUCUGUCUUCACAGCGCAGUCUCCUGUUCCGCGAUCCCAAACUUGACCUUGUACCUCCGGACAACUACAGAGGGACAGGAUUCAGCACUGCUAUUUGAGAGGAAAAAACACGAUUUCAUUCAUCUGUACUUCUUCCCGACCUCUAGAGCAGAGCCCUGCAGGAAAUUUUCACAGCUCGCGGCUCAUUUUUUAACAAAAUAUGGUCAUAAACAAUAACCCCUGGGUAAGAAACCGUCCGCUACAAACUCAAACCAAUAAACCGUAAGGGAAGGACUCUGAAUCCUCAGUUUUAAGCAAGAAACACCAAAACACAGAGGAGCAAGAAAACAGAAAGAGGAGCUGAUUGUUCACCAGAAGGCUCUCCCAGUGAGCCUACCCGCCACCCCAAAAGCACUAAUAUAUCUGCAUUGGAGACAAUUAGUUUCAUUAAUUAACUGACCAGAAAACGCCUCACAGAACAAAGGUAGAAUCCUGCAGCUGGGGGAAUAUUUCUUAGAUAAAAAUGACUUUUUUUAGCCCAUUACCCACAUGA